rnacentral:rRNA from 1 species
GAUGAACGCUGGCGGCGUGCCUAAUACAUGCAAGUCGAACGAAACUUCUUUAUCACCGAGUGCUUGCACUCACCGAUAAAGAGUUGAGUGGCGAACGGGUGAGUAACACGUGGGCAACCUGCCCAAAAGAGGGGGAUAACACUUGGAAACAGGUGCUAAUACCGCAUAACCAUAGUUACCGCAUGGUAACUAUGUAAAAGGUGGCUAUACUACCGCUUUUGGAUGGGCCCGCGGCGCAUUAGCUAGUUGGUAGGGUAAAGGCUUACCAAGGCAAUGAUGCGUAGCCGGAUUGAGAGGUUGAUCGGCCACAUUGGGACUGAGACACGGCCCAAACUCCUACGGGAGGCAGCAGUAGGGAAUCUUCCACAAUGGGCGAAAGCCUGAUGGAGCAACGCCGCGUGGGUGAAGAAGGUCUUCGGAUCGUAAAACCCUGUUGUUAGAGAAGAAAGUGCGUGAGAGUAACUGUUCACGUUUCGACGGUAUCUAACCAGAAAGCCACUGCUAACUACGU